rnacentral:rRNA from 1 species
UACGUAGGGGGCAAGCGUUAUCCGGAUUUACUGGGUGUAAAGGGAGCGUAGACGGCAAGGCAAGUCUGAUGUGAAAACCCAGGGCUUAACCCUGGGACUGCAUUGGAAACUGUCUGGCUCGAGUGCCGGAGAGGUAAGCGGAAUUCCUAGUGUAGCGGUGAAAUGCGUAGAUAUUAGGAAGAACACCAGUGGCGAAGGCGGCUUACUGGACGGUAACUGACGUUGAGACUCGAAAGCGUGGGGAGCAAACAGG